rnacentral:rRNA from 1 species
AUUGAACGCUGGCGGCAUGCUUUACACAUGCAAGUCGAACGGUAACAGGUUAAGCUGACGAGUGGCGAACGGGUGAGUAAUGCAUCGGAACGUGCCCGGUCGUGGGGGAUAACGCAGCGAAAGCUGCGCUAAUACCGCAUACGAUCUGAGGAUGAAAGCGGGGGACCGUAAGGCCUCGCGCGAUCGGAGCGGCCGAUGUCAGAUUAGGUAGUUGGGGGGGUAAAGGCUCACCAAGCCAACGAUCUGUAGCUGGUCUGAGAGGACGACCAGCCACACGGGGACGGAGGCACGGCCCAGACUCCUACGGGAGGCGGCAGUGGGGAAUUUUGGACAAGGGGCGAAAGCCUGAUCCAGCAAUGCCGCGUGCAGGAAGAAGGCCUUCGGGUUGUAAACUGCUUUUGUACGGAGCGAAAAGGUCUCCUCUAAUACAGGGGGCUCAUGACGGUACCGGAAGAAUAAGCACCGGCUAACUACGUGCCAGCCGCCGCCGUAA